rnacentral:rRNA from 1 species
CAAAGGUGAGCCAGUACAGGACGGACCCGCGUCUGAUUAGCUAGUUGGUAAGGUAACGGCUUACCAAGGCGACGAUCAGUAGCCGACCUGAGAGGGUGAUCGGCCACAUUGGAACUGAGACACGGUCCAAACUCCUACGGGAGGCAGCAGUGGGGAAUAUUGCACAAUGGGCGAAAGCCUGAUGCAGCAACGCCGCGUGAGUGAUGAAGGCCUUCGGGUCGUAAAACUCUGUCCUCAAGGAAGAUAAUGACGGUACUUGAGGAGGAAGCCCCGGCUAACUACGUGCCAGCAGCCGCGGUAAUACGUAGGGGGCUAGCGUUAUCCGGAUUUACUGGGCGUAAAGGGUGCGUAGGCGGUCUUUCAAGUCAGGAGUGAAAGGCUACGGCUCAACCGUAGUAAGCUCUUGAAACUGGGAGACUUGAGUGCAGGAGAGGAGAGUGGAAUUCCUAGUGUAGCGGUGAAAUGCGUAGAUAUUAGGAGGAACACCAGUUGCGAAGGCGGCUCUCUGGACUGUAACUGACGCUGAGGCACGAAAGCGUGGGGAGCAAACAGGAUUAGAUACCCUGGUAGUCCACGCUGUAAACGAUGAGUACUAGGUGUCGGGGGUUACCCCCUUCG